UACGUAGGGUGCAAGCGUUUGUCCGGAAUUAUUGGGCGUAAAGAGCUCGUAGGCGGUUUGUCGCGUCCGCUGUGAAAUCCCGGGGCUCAACCCCGGGCGUGCAGUGGAUACGGGCUGGCUGGAGGCAGGCAGGGGAGAACGGGAAUUCCUGGUGUAGCGGUGAAAUGCGCAGAUAUCAGGAGGAACACCGGUGGCGAAGGCGGUUCUCUGGGCCUGUACUGACGCUGAGGAGCGAAAGCGUGGGGAGCGAACAGG
rnacentral:rRNA from 1 species